rnacentral:misc_RNA from 1 species
GAUGAAGAACGUAGCGAAAUGCGAUACGUAAUGUGAAUUGCAGAAUUCAGUGAAUCAUCGAGUCUUUGAACGCACAUUGCGCCCUCUGGUAUUCCGGGGGCAUGCCUGUCCGAGCGUCAUUGCUGCCCUCAAGCACGGCUUGUGUGUUGGGCUCCGUCCCCCGAUCCCGGGGGACGGGCCCGAAAGGCAGCGGCGGCACCGCGUCCGGUCCUCGAGCGUAUGGGGCUUUGUCACCCGCUCUGUAGGCCCGGCCGGCGCUUGCCGAUCAACCAAAUUUUUAUCCAGGUUGACCUCGGAUCAGGUAGGGAUACCCGCUGAACUUAAGCAUAUCAAUAAGCGGAGGA